UAUGAGUGUUUAUCUGCCUUCAUAAAGCUAGAUAACCGAAAGUAGAAACGUCCUCCUUAACUGCAUACAAGUUGAAUGGGAAGCAAUGAUCGCAGGGAAUCUGCAUGAGCCUCUCAGACUGCAGUGUCUUUGUGAGAGACAGGAGGACUGAAGUUAAGGGAGAAAACGCCAUCUGCUCCCCUCCCUUCAUCGUCAACGGAAGCAUUUAGUGCCAUCUGUGCCCCCGGAGAAAAAAAAAAAGAGGGGAAAAAAAAAGAAAGAAGCGAGAGCCUACAUCCCAAGUGCCAAUGGGGACAAAGAGGCUGCCAGUUGCCACGGACCACCAGAUGCUGGAAGACUGAAUGAGGGGUGUGCUUUCAGGAAGCCAUCUUGAUGGAGAAACUGGCUGCUGCUCCCUAAAAUGGCUGUGUUGGCAUGAGGCUCCUGGCAUGAAAUACUGUACAUAAAACCACAGUUGUCAUCAGCUGCUGGAGAUACUGAAGCCAUAUCCUGCUAUGUUUGACUCAAAUGGUCAAUCAGAUCACCUCAGGAAUCCAGUGUCCGGCAUCUUUUCCAGACGGCGCUCUGUGGAAAUUAAACAAGCAGACGUGAGGGAUGGAUUUAACAUGUGAACUAAUUGAUUUAUCUAGAAAGCAGCCUUCAGACAAUCACUAAUAAUUGUAAUCGGAAUGAUUUGGGCUGUUAACCCAUUUAGGUUUUUUAAAUUGUGUCAUAUCAAUUGCUCAGCAAUGUGCCUUAAUGUGUGAAAUGUUUACAAUGAAGUUUGCCAAUGCUGCAACAUGACAGUGUCUGAGAAUUUAUAUGUAUUCAAUGUUUUCUUGUCUUGUAUACAUUAGUGAACUUUCAUGUUAGAUACAGUAGUGUUGGUAAUGUAACUACAGCAUAAUAUCUAGACUUUUAUCUGAUUUUGUUAUGUCUAAAUGUCUGUACUAAUAAACAUGCAUUAAAUAUGA